UGCUUGUGCCUUAUACUCUUUAUCCUGGAGAAGUGGCAUACAUAGGCGCUGUUGUUGGUCUUUUCAAAUUGAUUCAGCAAAUUGUUCUUUGUCUCUGUACAUAUUACAGAGUUUUGUUCACAUUACUUGAUCUUGUUUGCAUCUACAUUUGUCUCUUAAAUAUCAUCUGGAUUUAGCUUCCAACAUUUUUCCCUUAUACACUUACAUUUACGUUAUAGCAUUUGGUAGCUUAGGGGUCUUACGUUGUUGGCAAAAUAAUUUCUUCUCCAGCAUUCAUGAAGUUAUCUAAGGCAUUCCCUUUGUGGUACUGUGAUGUUGGUGCAUUUCUUAAACACUGGCUUUCCGUAAAGAUGCUUAUGAUUUGGUGUGGGUAUAUAUUUUUUUUUUUUAAUUUCGUGAACAUCGGGCUUUUUUCAUUUCUUUUGCUUAUGACUUGCCCAGAUGAAACCUUUGACUGGUGCAGUCAGCAUCCUUCCAAAAGAGCUGGACACAUCUCAAAGGUUUGUAGUGAAGCAACUGCCCUGUCUCACUUCUUUCUGGAUUGCUUACCAAAGGCAACAUCACAUUGAUGCUUUUUCUUCAGCUUUCCCAUUUCUGAGCUGCAUGCUGUGAAGAAACCUGGUCCCGAGAACACAGAUGGCAGCGAAACUGAGGAUGAUGAUGAUGAGGACGACGACGACGAAGGUGAUGACCAGGAUGAUGAUGGAGGCGAGGAAGAGGAUGGCUCAGGUGAAGAGGGUGAGGAGGAAGGGGAUCCAGAGGAUGAGCCUGCAGCCAAUGGAGAGGGGGGAAGUGGAGAUGACGACGACGAUGAUGACGACGACGAUGAUGGGGAAGAUGAAGAUGAAGAUGAUGAGGAUGAUGAAGAUGAAGAUGAUGAGGAUGAGUCACCUCAACCUCCUGCAAAGAAGAGAAAAUGAGAUUGUAUUAUGCUUCUAUUGGCUCGUGUUUAAUGUGGUGUUUGCUUCUUCGGAGGGUAGGUUUUUGCUAGUGUUAGGCUAGAAUUGGGGGAUUUGGGUUUGUAUGUUUGCCUCUUUGCAUUAGAGAAGAUGCUUAGCUUUUUGUCGUGACCCUUGUUCAAUAAUUCUAGUAAUCGCUGUAUUAUCGUCGUGAUCUUUUUGCUUACCAUGUUUAGUUUCUUAGAUUGCUCCUAUACAUAUUAAUAUCAUUUCUCCAGAUUAAAAGAUGAGCUGCAAAUUGGUUAUGAAUUCAUUGGCUUCACUUGGACGGAUAUGUUCCCUUUCGCGUUAUGCCGUCGAGUUUGUUACUGUCCUUCCUUCACUUGGUCAAAUCCCAGAGUGCUUGCUAGUGGGUCUUAGGCAAAAUAAGCUAUUGUUCUGAAAUGUGACGUCUACUCGAGAGUCUCGGAAGAUACCAAACAGUGCGCUGCGACGGUUUGUAUGUAUGUGAAUGUCUUCUUAGAAGUUGUCUGGAGUGAUAGCUGGAGGACUUGUUGAGGCAUUUCUUUUCUGAAGUUUAGUCCUGAGUCUUGACACUUUGUAAAUUGUUUACAGAGUCUUGUUUUACAAUAUUGUCUGUGUGAUUUAGGAAGCCUUGCGUUGAUCUACAAUACACGGAACAUGUCAAUGAUGGCAAAGCGUUCUGUCCCUCGGUGGCAGCGAUUUUUGGCACUUGUUCGAGUUUAUGGUGAGAGAGACGUUCAUUUAAGAAGCAUUACGACCUCGAUAGCCUCUGCUGCUCAAAGGUCGACCCAAUCCAGAGAGAAAGAGAGAAUUUAUUCAUGGGUAAGUAUUUCACACGGAUUUGAAGGGAAACCAUAGAGACACUCUUCUCCCCUUUCCUGCAUCAACUGUUUUCAGCAACCGACUGCGAACGACUCGCCUGGCCACAAAAGGAACGGAGGAUACCAACCAUAAGAGAAGCUGAACGAGCCCUGUGGUGCCCAAGGCUUUUCCACUGUUAACCAGGCAAUAAUCCCCUUGCCUUGCGAAAAGUGAGGGAUCGACCGCCUUGGUGCUCUAUAACCUGGCGCACUUGAGCUUCAUGCCGCUCUUGGCACAGCCAGAGUUGUUGAUCACUGUCACCGUCCAUUGUGGCUUGCCCCGUAUGAUCCUCCGGUCCGGAUGGUCCGGACAAUGAAGUUCUCUGAAGGUGGGCUUGCGCGCAGCCCUGAAAUGGAACAAAAACGAGAAACGCUCGACAUGAACCCACAUAUCGCAAUUGAAGAGCGGACAUAAAUGUCCAGAUCGUUAAAGCCGGAGGGUCGUCUCUACCUUCGGUGAUGAAACUGAGAAGAAGAAUUGCUAGCAAGGACUUGAUGCCUGUCAUUUUAUCUUCAACCCUGUUCUUUUUAUUUUUUAUUCUAUUUCCAUUAACUAGGUUCCUUUCUCUUCGAGGACAUGGCAGUGAGAUUAUGGCCUAUUUAUGGUGUGUAUUGACACAGUGAUAUUUUGGUACGUGCCAUAUUUCCUUGGGGUGAUAUGGAUUUCCUUCUAAUUGAGUUACUCUUAAUAAUUGUGGUUGAAGCAUCAAUAACUCUUCUAAUAUGAGAAUGAAUUUUGGUUUGAGUUGUUGUAUGAGUUAGUUAUAUUUAAGAAAAAUGUGUCAUAAAUGGAUUUAAAUAUAAUAUUGACGUUAAAUGGGUCAUAAAUGAGUUUAACACUCAAGUAAACUCAAUUCACUUUUACAUGCUCUCUUCGUUCUCUCUUUACCCUUACUUACUCUGCACUUUCACUUUAGUUUGGUUAUAAUUUGUAUUGAAUAGAAAUUGGUUAAAAUGGGUUACAUGGGUUUAUUUGGAUCAGAUCAUUUCCAACAUGAUCCCACAUCCUCAUCUGAUGGGUCUACUCGAAGUAUGAGUAAGCCCUUCAAAAAUAGUCCAAAACAUUUAAAAGAGAGAAAAAAAAGAUUUGACACAAUCAUAAUUCCUCUACUCUUUGCAUGAAAUUUAAAUUUAAAACUGUCAACGAACAUAUUUUCAGACCAUUAGCAGUGAAUCCAAACUACCAAUUCAAUUAGCCAUUUCUUAACAUUUGACAUCAGUAGUAUCGUUCUUUGUUUCAUAACUAUAUCAUGCCCAUUGAAUUUCCAUGGACAUUAUCUAUAGGAUCAUUAUUGUCACAGCCCGAAACUAUUAUAAAAUAGGAUGACACAGCCAUCCUUCCACACGAAUGACAUAGCCUCAAAUUUAACCAACUACUUGAUAUUAAAAUAUAUAUCUCUAAAUAUAUAUACAUAUCAGAUAAACCAACAGUUCGGUUAUAAUAUCGGAGUUUCUAUAGUUCACCGAAAAGAAUAUGUACAAUUAGAACUCAGCCAACCCAACAAUUUACAACAACUAUAUAAACAACUCUUUAAGCCAUACCCCAAAAUAUAACUCUCAAAAGUUUUUAGUGGCACUCUCAUCCUAGUUGUUGCCAACUCAAAGAAAUGAUUCAUUAAUGUCAAAUCAAAAUAUAAUAGCCUGCAUGAAUAAAAUGCGUUAUAUAUGAUUUCAACCAAGUUAUAUCAAAUAGGAGAAUUUUCCCUUCAUUCAUAAUAUCAAAAUAGGUAUAACUGGUUUAGUUCAAUAAUCGAAUUCGUCCUAUCUCAUAUCUACAAUUUAUUCCACACUCAAUAUCUAACUCAAGUUCUUAGAAGUGGCUCUCACAAAUUUAUAUUAUUGUGUAGCACUUAGUCCUUACUUCACAUACACCAGUAGUAUAAGGCCUUAGAGGUAGCUCCAACGAAAUUACAUUAUCGUGUAAACUCUUUACCAUGCAUGUCAAUAGUGCAAGGCCCUAGAUGUGGUUCAUAAGUGACUCAAGUCACCAUGUAACAAUUAGCCAUUGACUACAAGGUUCUAGAGGUGAUUUACAUGAAGUUUUGUUAUUGUAUAGUAAUUAGUCUUUUACCUGUUUAUAUCACAGUUGAUUUCCUCAACACAACACAUAUCAUUUUUCAAUAGUCAUCACAUAAAGUUUUGUUGAAUCAUCCUACAAUAACUCAAAAGUACCAAAUACUCCAUCCAUCUUUAUAUAACAAAUGGGUCCUCACUUCCAUACAUAAGUAUAUGUCAAGUUACCCUUAUCUUAAUACAUGAGUUUCAUAAAAUCUAAGAAGACAUCAGUACUACUUAUCUGGGGAUGUCCCAAAAUCAAAUAACACACGUUACUUGAGCCGUCGAUCUCGCAAUCCUAUUAAAUAAGUGAGAAACAACAUUAAAUUUAGGUAAUACGCUACCUCCUCUAUGAAAUGACUAUACUAUGCUGAAACGUUAACAAAACAAUCCCUAUGCACUAAUAAGUCACAUAUUCAAAGUAAUUAUUUAAGCUGUUCGCAACACAAAAUUUGAGUACAAAACUUGAUGAUCCUAUAACUUUCUUUACCAAAUCCCGUUCCAAACGUACUUAUAGUUAAUAGAAGGUCCUUCAAAUAUACUAUGAAAAGCCUAACUUGACCGUUCUAAAAUCAAAUCGAAAACCGACAAAAUACCGGCCUGAAUCUGCUAGACGCUCAUUGUUCAUGGCAUGCCGGGAAACUUUGAAAUUUUAUUUCGGGCAAACUAUAAACUUAAAUCAAGAUUUUGAUCUUAUAUCUCCACAAUACCCUAAACUAUCAGUUUUAUGUAUACGCAGCUUAACGGCUCAAAAAUUAAACUCCAUCGCAUAGAUAUCCAAUAGUUCAAAUUUCAAGCCUUAAGUUCAAAACUACUUCGAUUGGAAGAACGAAGGUUGCGAGUGCUUAUCGAAUAUUGCGGUGAGGUCCCAAAAGUGUGCAUAAGAGAAACCUCUUUUCUCUUCUUCCUUCUUCUUCUUCCUUGUUUCUUUCUUUUUCUUCUCUCUCUUCCCGGAAUGGUUCAGGCUUAAAAGAGUAAAAGCGCCCCCCUUUUAUUUGACUUUUUCAACCCUCUUUCUUUUCUUUGUAUUUUUUAAACAAAAGUGGGUCCCACCACUUAAUUUGAAAAGUCAAAUAUUAAAAUGAUCGCUUUUCUCACUGAAGGUUUUCACGAAUAUUAUCUUAAACAUUCUGCAGACGUUCUUAAAUGGUUUUCCUUUUGAUUUAUUGGCAAAAUUUGUUUUCCCCUAAACUGAAGUACAAAGGUCCAAACCCUGAAGUCAUUCAAUAUUUUCUUCAACAAAGAAUGGAAGCUUUUACACCAUAGGCCCAGUAAGACGAAGCAAUUGUCCUUGUCCAAUUGCUAAAUUGUACAGAUAUUUUGGAUGCAAUUUUAUUGAAAUUCAUGAACGAUAUUGAGAAUCUCAAAGGAUCUUAUGUGAAGAGAAUCAAAUUAUUUCAAAGUUUAUGAGUAGUUAUCAAGAGGAAAUGCAACCAGAUUAUUUCCACAAAUAUCAUAUGACCCAAGAUGCCGCCCACCAGACAUUAGAUGAGUACAAGUGAAAUCAAAUAUAUUCAAUGGUUUUUUCGCAAAACCCAAGAGAUAUCGAAGAAUCUUAUGUUGAAGAUAUGUGGCAACCCAAUUUUAGCUCCAAUGAAAAUCUUAAUCUCGUCUCAAGUCAUCACCUGUGCUGUGAAUAAGUGAAAGAAUCUUUUGGAAUUCACGUGAAUACUAUAAUAAAAUUAAAGUUGUAAACUUUAUUAUACUAUUGAGUUUGUACUGAUUCUUUUCAACUUCAAUCUAAUAACUCUAUAAUAUUUCUUGGCGGUCUUUUGUAAUACGCUUAAUUGACCAUACUAGCUGUGAAAUUUUUUUGUAUUACCCAUUAUCUUAGCCAUAAAAGGCGAGCCAACGUUUGAAUCAGAGGCAAAGUUGGGAGAAGAGAAAAUUUAUCAAUAUUUUAUUAUAUUUUCUCAAAGGUUCUUCUAAACCUUUUCCCUUUAGGCCCAGUGAUAUUUGAUGAAUAGAAUUUUAAUUUUGAUCCGAACACAUGAGCUUAUUUCAACAAAUGUGCUCUCCAUUUCUCACUUUAAGUGGAUCCUAUAGAUUUGAAAUUUUUCAGAAUUCAGAAAGAUUUAAGAUGGAGAUUAAUAUUAUAGCAACAUCGAAUAUAGUCAUAUGAUCAUUCGUGUAAAAGGCCAAGAAACAUCACCGAAAGCGUGGUAAAAAAUGUCAAAUGAAACCUUUGACUGGUGCAGUCAGCAUCCUUCCAAAAGAGCUGGACACAUCUCAAAGGUUAGUAGUGAAGCAACUGCCGUCUCCCUUCUUUCGGGAUUACUUACCAAAGGCAAC
rnacentral:lncRNA from 1 species